rnacentral:rRNA from 1 species
AACGAACGCUGGCGGCAGGCUUAACACAUGCAAGUCGAACGCCCCGCCAGGGGAGUGGCAGACGGGUGAGUAACGCGUGGGAACAUACCCUUUCCUGCGGAAUAGCUCUGGGAAACUGGAAUUAAUACCGCAUACGCCCUACGGGGGAAAGAUUUAUCGGGGAAGGAUUGGCCCGCGUUGGAUUAGCUAGUUGGUGGGGUAAAGGCCUACCAAGGCGACGGUCCAUAGCGGGUCUGAGAGGAUGAGCAGCCACAUUGGGACUGAGACACGGCCCAAACUCCUACGGGAGGCAGCAGUGGGGAAUAUUGGACAAUGGGCGCAAGCCUGAUCCAGCCAUGCCGCGUGAGUGAUGAAGGCCUUAGGGUUGUAAAGCUCUUUCACCGAUGAAGAUAAUGACGGUAGUCGGAGAAGAAGCCCCGGCUAACUUCGUGCCAGCCGCCGCCGUAACAC